rnacentral:rRNA from 1 species
UGGGGAAUAUUGGACAAUGGGCGCAAGCCUGAUCCAGCCAUGCCGCGUGUGUGAAGAAGGCCUUAGGGUUGUAAAGCACUUUCAGUGGGGAGGAAGGGUGUUGUGUUAAUAGCACAGCAUUUUGACGUUACCCACAGAAGAAGCACCGGCUAACUCCGUGCCAGCAGCCGCGGUAAUACGGAGGGUGCAAGCGUUAAUCGGAAUUACUGGGCGUAAAGCGCACGCAGGCGGCUUUUUAAGUCGGAUGUGAAAGCCCCGGGCUCAACCUGGGAAUUGCAUCUGAUACUGGGAAGCUAGAGUAUGUGAGAGGGGGGUAGAAUUCCAAGUGUAGCGGUGAAAUGCGUAGAGAUUUGGAGGAAUACCAGUGGCGAAGGCGGCCCCCUGGCACAAUACUGACGCUCAGGUGCGAAAGCGUGGGGAGCAAAACAGGAUUAGAUACCCUGGUAGUCCACGCCGUAAACGAUGUCUACUAGAUGUUCGUGGUCUUGUACCGUGAGUAUCGCAGCUAACGCAUUAAGUAGACCGCCUGGGGAGUACGGUCGCAAGAUUAAAACUUAAAUGAAUUGACGGGGUCAUAGCUGUUUCCU